UGCUUUGAAUAUAGCUCAAGUCAGUAGAGCAUGAGACACUUAAUCUCAGGGUCUUGGGUUCAAGCCCCACGUUGGGCAA